rnacentral:rRNA from 1 species
GAUGAACGCUGGCGGCGUGCCUAAUACAUGCAAGUCGAGCGAACGGACGAGAAGCUUGCUUCUCUGAUGUUAGCGGCGGACGGGUGAGUAACACGUGGAUAACCUACCUAUAAGACUGGGAUAACUUCGGGAAACCGUAGCUAAUACCGGAUAAUAUUUUGAACCGCAUGGUUCAAAAGUGAAAGACGGUCUUGCUGUCACUUAUAGAUGGAUCCGCGCUGCAUUAGCUAGUUGGUAAGGUAACGGCUUACCAAGGCAACGAUGCAUAGCCGACCUGAGAGGGUGAUCGGCCACACUGGAACUGAGACACGGUCCAGACUCCUACGGGAGGCAGCAGUAGGGAAUCUUCCGCAAUGGGCGAAAGCCUGACGGAGCAACGCCGCGUGAGUGAUGAAGGUCUUCGGAUCGUAAAACUCUGUUAUUAGGGAAGAGCAUAUGUGUAAGUAACUGUGCACAUCUUGACGGUACCUAAUCAGAAAGCCACGGCUAACUACGUG